GGUUAAGCGACUAAGCGUACACGGUGGAUGCCCUGGCAGUCAGAGGCGAUGAAGGACGUGCUAAUCUGCGAUAAGCGUCGGUAAGGUGAUAUGAACCGUUAUAACCGGCGAUUUCCGAAUGGGGAAACCCAGUGUGAUUCGUCACACUAUCAUUAACUGAAUCCAUAGGUUAAUGAGGCGAACCGGGGGAACUGAAACAUCUAAGUACCCCGAGGAAAAGAAAUCAACCGAGAUUCCCCCAGUAGCGGCGAGCGAACGGGGAGCAGCCCAGAGCCUGAAUCAGUGUGUGUGUUAGUGGAAGCGUCUGGAAAGGCGCGCGAUACAGGGUGACAGCCCCGUACACAAAAAUGCACAUAUUGUGAGCUCGAUGAGUAGGGCGGGACACGUGGUAUCCUGUCUGAAUAUGGGGGGCCCAUCCUCCAAGGCUAAAUACUCCUGACUGACCGAUAGUGAACCAGUACCGUGAGGGAAAGGCGAAAAGAACCCCGGCGAGGGGAGUGAAAAAGAACCUGAAACCGUGUACGUACAAGCAGUGGGAGCACGCUUAGGCGUGUGACUGCGUACCUUUUGUAUAAUGGGUCAGCGACUUAUAUUCUGUAGCAAGGUUAACCGAAUAGGGGAGCCGAAGGGAAACCGAGUCUUAACUGGGCGUUAAGUUGCAGGGUAUAGACCCGAAACCCGGUGAUCUAGCCAUGGGCAGGUUGAAGGUUGGGUAACACUAACUGGAGGACCGAACCGACUAAUGUUGAAAAAUUAGCGGAUGACUUGUGGCUGGGGGUGAAAGGCCAAUCAAACCGGGAGAUAGCUGGUUCUCCCCGAAAGCUAUUUAGGUAGCGCCUCGUGAAUUCAUCUCCGGGGGUAGAGCACUGUUUCGGCAAGGGGGUCAUCCCGACUUACCAACCCGAUGCAAACUGCGAAUA
rnacentral:rRNA from 1 species